GUGUAUGACACAGGGCAUGCAGUUAUAAUAUAAGGAAGAUACUGCUCAGCAGUCUCUAGCCUUGCUUCUGAUGGUGCCAUCUUUCCUUUCAAUCUCUUAAAUGAAAAAUCUACUGUCAUCCUACAGCUGCAUAGAUUAAAAGUAAAGGAAGAUGGCUUGACGUGAAUUACCUGACAGAGGCCAUGCCCAGAUGAUGGAGCUGUACAGAUUUUUGCAGAAAAACCUUCUGUGAGAACGCCAUUGUCGUACUUAUCACAGCAUGCCUUGGGCUUUGAAUUUUGGUGAAACUCACAUGGUAACGUAUUCAUGUGAGCAUUUGGCAGAGAAUGGGCUGAGCCCCAACUAAAGCCCUCACCUACCUGCCCUUUGACCCAGCAGGGUAUCUUUCCUCAAACCAAGAACCAAGCUAUCUCCUUUUCCCCGGUAAGUAGGCUCACGGGGCAGACCAAGCCAUAUGAAUAAAGGGCUCCUUUCCCUACUCCCAAUGGCAGCUCUGAGGACCAUGCAGCAACAUAGUAGAAGGGUGAGACACUUUCACUUUUUUGUCAACACUAGCAACAUACUCCAACUUGGCUUCUGGACAUCCCUUCCUCCCUGCUAAUGACUGCUUACGGCAACCAUCUCCAAUGCUCUCCCUCACCUUCCCCUUGCCUCCAGGCUGAAUCUCUAUAUAAGGCUCCUCUUUGUCCACUUGAAUAUCCCUUCUCUCUUCCUCCCAUUUCUCAUUCCAGUGCUCCUGACUAACUCAACUCAUCACCUGCACUUGGGCCUAACAUGCUAUUUACCAACCAUUCUUUGGUUUGGGUGCUACAUUCACCCUGGGUCUGCUUGUCCAUAUGGACUGUGAGCUUUUCAGACCAAAGUCAUUAUUAUUAUUAUUAUCAUUAUCAUCCAUUGCAAGUAAUGCUAUGAACUAGAGUCAUCUAGCAUAUUAUUGUCACUUCUUAAAGUAUAUUUUAAAAUAUACUGGUGAAAGAAAAAAGAACAAGGAACUCACUGGCAGCCUUUCCAUUGACUUCAGUGGACUUUAUAUAUGGGGAGGGUAUGUGUAUGUGUGUUGAGAUGGAGGGGGGUCUUCUGUAGCAGAUGGCCAGGGAAAGACUUGAGAUGGCCACA